GGUGCAUGCAAUUCACCUGAGUGACUGGAAGGGCUGAAGCCAGGAUCCACCCCUUCUGAGACCUCAUUUAAGGGCUGGCAGUAGAGACAAGGGUAUCUUGUUGGAGAUCCCUGUGUACCUGAGGCCUUCUGAAGGUAAGCUGCUUCUUUCUUUUGUUUUUGUGCACAUUGCUGUUGCAUUUGGGUAAAUCCUCUCUUGUUGCAGCCUGGGGCCUUAUUACUCUUUUGUCAUUGCUGCGUUUUCCAUUGUGUUACAGUGACCUGGUGUGUAUCUUUGGAUUUGCACUACAAUUGGUCUCCUUUCUAAGCAGUGGUGCUACAGACCUUCUAAACAUGACCUCUAGUAGCAAGAGUACAGCCCGAUCAAUUGUCCAUUGACUUUCACAGGUAAUGAACUAAGAACAUUUCUCAAUACUUUCUCACAUUAUGUGAUUUGGGGAGGAGGGAGGAGGAAGGUGAGGGUGGAAGGCUGCACAGUUUCUGCCUUGCUAUAAAGUUUAUCUAGCAUUUUAUAUGUUCUGGGAUCUCUUGUGGAAUAAUGAUUAAUCAUUAACAGUUAUUUAAGUGGAUGCUGCUUUAGGAGUCUGAUAACAGAAUUGGUCAUAGGGAAUACAGCUCGGACUAGAGAACAAUAAAAGGACAGUUUGACGUAUGGCA
rnacentral:lncRNA from 1 species